rnacentral:rRNA from 1 species
ACUCCUACGGGAGGCAGCAGUAGGGAAUCUUCCACAAUGGGCGCAAGCCUGAUGGAGCAACACCGCGUGAGUGAAGAAGGGUUUCGGCUCGUAAAGCUCUGUUGUUAAAGAAGAACACGUAUGAGAGUAACUGUUCAUACGUUGACGGUAUUUAACCAGAAAGUCACGGCUAACUACGUGCCAGCAGCCGCGGUAAUACGUAGGUGGCAAGCGUUAUCCGGUAUUUAUUGGGCGUAAAGAGAGUGCAGGUCGGUUUUCUAAGUCUGAUGUGAAACGCCUUCGGCUUAACCGGAGAAGUGCAUCGGAAACUGGAUAACUUGAGUGCAGAAGAGGUAGUGGAACUCAUGUGUAGCGGUGGAAUGCGUAGAUAUAGUGGAAGAACACC